rnacentral:rRNA from 1 species
AGCAGCCGCGGUAAUUCCAGCUCCAAUAGCGUAUAUUAAAGUUGUUGCAGUUAAAAAGCUCGUAGUUGAAUUUCGGGGUUCUACCGUCGGUCGGGCUACCAAGUCUGUACUGGUGUGUAGAACUUCUACCUUCUGGGGAACCAUCAUGUUAUUAAUUUAGCGUGGUGGGAAACCAGGACCUUUACCUUGAAAAAUUAGAGUGUUCAAAGCAGGCUUAUGUCUGAAUACAUUAGCAUGGAAUAAUAGAAUAGGACGGUGGUCCUGUUUUGUUGGUUUCUGAAUCACCGUAAUGAUUAAUAGGGAUAGUUGGGGGCAUUAGUAUUCAAUUGUCAGAGGUGAAAUUCUUGGAUUUAUUGAAGACUAACUUCUGCGAAAGCAUUUGCCAAGGAUGUUUUCAUUAAUCAAGAACGAAAGUUAGGGGAUCGAAGACGAUCAGAUACCGUCGUAGUC